GAAAACAGGGAUGGACGGGACGUGCUGAUGGCGGUGAAGCACCAUCCGCUGCAGCUCCAGGAGCCGCGCAGGUCUGGUUUGGAGAUCAAGCCCGGUCGACCCGUUACGGAAAGAAGAAGGGUAAUACGGAUUCCUCCAGUAUAUAAAAUUUAAACCUUCUCUCACAAGUGUAUGGUAGAGCUAAAGAAGAAGACAAACAAGUAAGGGUCAUCUGAAAUUGUAAUUGGCUCACUAAUAAUCCCAGGACUAAGUUGGAAAGAAGUACUCAAGCAUAAGACAACUACAAAGAUGUUUGAUAUAAAGGCUUGGGCUGAGUAUGUUGUGGAAUGGGCUGCAAAGGACCCAUAUGGCUUCCUUACAACAGUUAUCCUGGCCCUUACUCCAUUGUUUCUAGCAAGUGCAGUACUGUCCUGGAAAUUGGCCAAGAUGAUUGAGGCCAGGGAAAAGGAGCAAAAGAAGAAACAAAAACGUCAAGAAAAUAUUGCAAAAGCUAAACGACUAAAAAAGGAUUGAAGGAAUGAAUGAACAGGCUAUAUAACCGGAGGAACAUCAUUUGGAAAAUUAUUCAGUGUUGAAAGGACCCACUAAGAUUGUGUUCUGAAAUGAAACAUCCUGUGGAGAAAAAUGACUGUACAUUAUGAACUCUAUUCAAAUAACGGCUUAGAAUGGGGUCCUGUUCUGGACGAAGGGAAUUGAGAAUGUAAAAAUCACAACUGUCCAAUGGUGAAAACUGUGCUUUGGCUUAAAGAGGCAUAUAGUAUAUUAUUUACAUCUAUCAUUAUUGCUUAUUUCUUGGCAUAGAAUCAUUUCUGGCUUUCUCAAAGCCACAUAUUAACCAAUGACUGUGUUCUGCAUUUUUCUCAUUUUAGUCUUUGAGAUAAUUAACAGACAUUCUAUAUUUUUUAAAAUCUCAUUUUAUAAGAAUUCUCUUACUGGCUAUUUAGAAUACCACCUACCAGAUAGAACAGUUUUUGUACUUAUGAACCUGCCAUUUUCUUAGAGAUGUCUUGAGUAGAAUAACACUAUGAUCUAAAGCUUGCAGUAAAAAUGCCAAACCUUGUGGUACCUUGGAACCAGUGUAUUCUUUAUUGUGCUAUGUAGAAAUGUAAAGUAGUUAAAAUGUCUUAUCACAUAAUUUGCUCAUUACAUAGAUGGCCACUUUUGUGUUUUUAUUCAUUUCUUCAUUUUAAUUUAUCUAGUAGUGAUGUUCUAUACUUUCUGAUCAAACAGGUUCAUGUGAAAAUUAAAACUUCAUACUUCUCUUAAAGAAUUCUUAGAAAGUAAUAGUUAAGUACUAUUUCAUAAGUGGUAAAGGUUUAACAUUUGGAAAAAUUUUGUUCAUCAUACUAGUAAUUGGGUGAAAAAGACAAAUUAUGUCAAAAUGAGGAUGUGUUAAAAUUAGAAAUAAAGAGCUAAAGGAUAUUUCCUUCAGCUAAGUAGUAUAACUGGAAUUUUUUACUGUUAAACAUGGCUUUUAUAAAUGCGUAGUCUAAUAAUUUUAUUCACUGUCAGUAUAUAAUAGCUUAUUAACGUUUUCCUCACCUCUGAUAAUGAAUUUUAAAUUACAAAAAAAUUGUCCACCAGCUUUAAUUUAAAAAUGAAACUAGAUAUUGAAAUAAAUUUGAUACUUUUUUAUAAAGAGGUCCUGGGUUUUUUUUUUUUUUUAAAGGGGGGUUAAUAAUAAGGUAAUUAAGUUAGAUGUGUUACAGAAGUUAGACUUUUAAGAGGGUUUUGAGUUUCAUUUCUUUUUUUUUUUUUUUAAGAUUUUAUUUAUUUAUUUGAGAGAGAAUGAGAGACAGCACAAGAGGGAAGAGGGUCAGAGGGAGAAGCAGACCCCCCGCUGAGCAGGGAGCCCGAUGUGGGACUCGAUCCCGGGACUCCAGGAUCAUGACCUGAGCCGAAGGCAGUCGCUUAACCAACUGAGCCACCCAGGUGCCCCGAGUUUCAUUUCUAGCCAAAAGCCUACUUAAAAAAGUUAAGGGCAAUGUUUCUCAACUAUGAAAACAUAAGGACUCCUGAGAAUGCUUAUGGAUUGGUCUAAACACUAGUACUUUCACUUUAGGUUGUCAGUUUCUACUUGGUGCCAGUGGAAUGAACAUAUUGCAACUCCAGGCACUAAGAUAAUUCAGUGUUCCGUUCCGUUACUUUAGCGAUCUAGGAUAUCUAGUGAUCUUUUUAUUGUCACUGAA